AUAAUUUUAAUAUUAGCUUGAAUAAAAAUUUUAAAUCUGUUCUUAUCACUUUAAGAACGGAUACUUCCUCUACCUGAGCUCUAUCGAUUAACCUGAUUUUUGGAACAGGGAGAUGGAAUAGCAGCUUGCUCCAUCCACCGCACACAUCGGCCUGUUAUUGCCGUUCUGAACCUCCAGGAACGGUGGACCUCCC
rfam:Chelonia mydas contig272330, whole genome shotgun sequence.